rnacentral:rRNA from 1 species
GUGGGGAAUUUUGGACAAUGGGCGCAAGCCUGAUCCAGCAAUGCCGCGUGCAGGAAGAAGGCCUUCGGGUUGUAAACUGCUUUUGUGCGGAACGAAACGGUCCGGGUUAAUACCCUGGGCUAAUGACGGUACCGUAAGAAUAAGCACCGGCUAACUACGUGCCAGCAGCCGCGGUAAUACGUAGGGUGCAAGCGUUAAUCGGAAUUACUGGGCGUAAAGCGUGCGCAGGCGGUUUUGUAAGACAGGCGUGAAAUCCCCGGGCUCAACCUGGGAAUUGCGCUUGUGACUGCAAGGCUGGAGUGCGGCAGAGGGGGAUGGAAUUCCGCGUGUAGCAGUGAAAUGCGUAGAUAUGCGGAGGAACACCGAUGGCGAAGGCGAUCCCCUGGGCCUGCACUGACGCUCAUGCACGAAAGCGUGGGGAGCAAACAGGAUUAGAAACCCCAGUAGUCC